rnacentral:misc_RNA from 1 species
GGAAGGAUCAUUGAUAUCCGUCUGUCCACACCACUGGUCACUUUUGUGGGUGCUCUGCUAAUUUAUUAGUAGGGCACAGGGUCUGGGCCUGCUCUCGACUGGUUAACGCCGGCUUGGGCAGUGCUCGGGGUGGGCUGGCAGGAGUUCCCCUGAAACAAAUGCUUGCUGUCCCUGCUAGGCAGCUUGAAGUCCUAUAUCUGAAGGCCUGCAGAUUUAUUUUUGCAGUGUCUGGGGGCGGGAGGCUUUGCCUUGCUUCCUUCUUGCUUGCUCUCGCAGCAGGUGAGUUUAGGGGUAGGCAUAGUCUCUUUUAUUUUAUUAGACUCAUUAAAAACUAUUCUAAAGACUAGUCAUGGCAGCUCUGCUGACAUGCAAACUAAAGACAACUCUCAACAACGGAUGUCUUGGCUCUUGCAACGAUGAAGAACGCAGCGAAAUGCGAUACGUAGUGUGAAUUGCAGAAUUCCGUGAACCAUCGAAUCUUUGAAUGCAUAUUGCGCCUGGCGCCCCAUUUGGUGGCUCCAGACAUGUCUGCCUCAGCGUCGUGAUGGACCCUUGGGCCUUCUACUAUUUUUUUUAAUAGUAGUUGGCUCAGAUCUGGCAGUCUCAGUGAUAGCAAUAUUACUGGGUCUGCUGAAGCUCAGAGACUCAAACCAUAGGACCCAUACCAAAGGGACAAUAGCUGGUUAGGUUUCUUUUGAAGCUACUUGCUAGUGUCCUGGGACCUUUGCAGUUACUUAGAGUCAGCAGGAAACUAAUCAUCUUUUUGACCUGAGUUUAGGCAAGGCUACCCGCUGAACUUAAGCAUAUCAAUAAGCGGAGGAAAAGAAACUAACUAGGAUUCCCUUAGUAACGGCGAGUGAACUGGGAAGAGCCCAACUUGAAAAUCUCCAGCCUUUGGCUGGCGAAUUGUAGUCUAUAGAAGCACUACCUGAGACCGGCCUUGCCCAAGUUUCCUGGAAUGGAACGCUAUAGAGGGUGAGAGCCCCGUCGGCGAGGUGCAGGUCUCUCCACGGUAUGCUUUCGCAGAGUCGGGUUGUUUGAGAAUGCAGCCCUAAUUUGGUGGUAAAUCCCAUCUAAGGCUAAAUACUGGCAAGAGACCGAUAGCGAACAAGUACCGCGAGGGAAAGAUGAAAAGAACUUUGAAAAGAGAGUUAAAAGUGCCUGAAAUUGUUGAGGGGGAAGUGUUUGAAAGUCGCGGGUGUUCCCAGGCUUACGUCUCUCCAUCCGGAUUGGCUGAAGGCACUGGGAACUGGUCAGCAUGGGCUAGACUUGCGGGAUAAAACCAGAGGUUGCUACUUUGGCUAUGCCGUGGGCCUGGCUGAGGUUGAAGGGUGCUUUUGUCCUUCGGGAUCUGCAUCCUCACGAUGCUGGCGGAAGGCUUUCAAACAGCCCGUCUUGAAACACGGACCAAGGAGUCUAACAUGUAUGCGAGUUGGUGGGUGGAAAACCCACGAAGCGCAAGUAACCUGACUGGUGGGAUGGCGAAAGCCUGCACCAUCGACCGACCAUGAUCUUCUGUGAAAGGUUCGAGUAAGAGCAUACCUGUUGGGACCCGAAAGAUGGUGAACUAUGCCUGAGCAGGGCGAAGCCAGAGGAAACUCUGGUGGAGGCUCGCAGAUGUGCUGACGUGCAAAUCGCUUUUCGGACUUGGGUAUAGGGGCGAAAGACUAAUCGAACCAUCUAGUAGCUGGUUCCCUC